AUUGAACGCUGGCGGCAUGCCUUACACAUGCAAGUCGAACGGUAACAGGUUAAGCUGACGAGUGGCGAACGGGUGAGUAAUGUAUCGGAACGUGCCCAGUCGUGGGGGAUAACUGCUCGAAAGAGCAGCUAAUACCGCAUACGACCUGAGGGUGAAAGCGGGGGAUCGCAAGACCUCGCGCGAUAGGAGCGGCCGAUAUCAGAUUAGGUAGUUGGUGAGGUAAAGGCUCACCAAGCCGACGAUCUGUAGCUGGUCUGAGAGGACGACCAGCCACACUGGGACGGGGACACGGCCCAGACUCCUACGGGAGGCAGCAGUGGGGAAUUUUGGACAAUGGGCGCAAGCCUGAUCCAGCCAUGCCGCGUGCGGGAAGAAGGCCUUCGGGUUGUAAACCGCUUUUGUCAGGGAAGAAAAGGUUCUGGCUAAUACCUGGGACUCAUGACGGUACCUGAAGAAUAAGCACCGGCUAACUACGUGCCAGUAGCCGCCGUAA
rnacentral:rRNA from 1 species